rnacentral:rRNA from 1 species
UACGUAGGCAGCGAGCGUUGUUCGGAGUUACUGGGCGUAAAGGGUGUGUAGGCGGUUUUCUAAGUUUGGUGUGAAAUCUCCCGGCUUAACUGGGAGGGUGCGCCGGAAACUGGGCCGCUGGAGUACGGGAGAGGCAAGCGGAAUUCCAGGUGUAGCGGUGAAAUGCGUAGAUAUCUGGAGGAACACCGGUGGCGAAGGCGACAUCCUGGACCGGUAUUGACGCUGAGGCGCGAAAGCCAGGGGAGCAAACGGG